rnacentral:rRNA from 1 species
CGACCGGGCGCACGGGUGAGUAACGCGUAUCCAACCUGCCCUUUACUAUGGGACAGCCCGUCGAAAGGCGGAUUAAUACCGUAUGUUGUCAUGUUGAUGCAUAUUUUCAUGACCAAAGGCUUCGGCCGGUAAAGGAUGGGGAUGCGUCUGAUUAGCUUGCCGGCGGGGUAACGACCCACCGGGGCGACGAUCAGUAGGGGUUCUGAGAGGAAGGUCCCCACAUUGGAACUGAGACACGGUCCAGACUCCUACGGGAGGCAGCAG